rnacentral:rRNA from 1 species
CCCUCCAAUAACGGUCCUGGAUUCGAGUUAGUCGGCCGCGAAUUCGCCCUUACGCGCUGAACUUAAGCAUAUCAAUGAGCGGAGGAAAAGAAACCAACCGGGAUUGCCUCAGUAACGGCGAGUGAAGCGGCAACAGCUCAAAUUUGAAAUCUGGCUCCUUCGGGGUCCGAGUUGUAAUUUGUAGAAGAUGCUUUGGGUGUGGCCCUGGUCCAAGUUCCUUGGAGCAGGACGUCAUAGAGGGUGAGAAUCCCGUACUGGCCGGUGGCCUACGCCCGUGUAAAGCUUUUUCGACGAGUCGAGUUGUUUGGGAAUGCAGCUCUAAAUGGGUGGUAAAUUUCAUCUAAAGCUAAAUAUUGGCCAGAGACCGAUAGCGCACAAGUAGAGUGAUCGAAAGAUGAAAAGCACUUUGGAAAGAGAGUUAAACAGUACGUGAAAUUGUUGAAAGGGAAGCGCUUGCAACCAGACUUGCGCGUCGUUGAUCAUCUGGUGUUCUCACCGGUGCGCUCAGCGACGCUCAGGCCAGCAUCAGUUCUGGUGGUUGGAUAAAGGCCCUGGGAACGUGGCUCUCUUCGGGGAGUGUUAUAGCCCAGGGUGCAAUGCAGCCUACCGAGACUGAGGACCGCGCUUCGGCUAGGAUGCUGGCGUAAUGGUUGUAAGCGGCCCGUCUUGAAACACGG